AAACGACUCUCGGCAACGGAUAUCUCGGCUCUCGCAUCGAUGAAGAACGUAGCGAAAUGCGAUACUUGGUGUGAAUUGCAGAAUCCCGUGAACCAUCGAGUCUUUGAACGCAAGUUGCGCCCGACGCCAUUCGGCCGAGGGCACGUCUGCCUGGGUGUCACGCA
rnacentral:rRNA from 1 species